AAACCAUGUUGUGGGCAUGAACUGAUGAGAUCCUUGAACCACUCCUAACAUUGGAAGAAUGUUUCAUCUUCCUUUCAGGUGAAGUUCAUGAUCGACUUCCUGAUGGU